AACGCGAAGAACCUUACCUGGACUUGACAUGCAGAUAGUAGAAGUGGGAAACCUCUUCGACCGCAAGGAGUCUGCACAGGUGCUGCAUGGCUGUCGUCAGCUCGUGCCGUGAGGUGUAGGGUUAAGUCCUGAAACGAGCGCAACCCUCGGCGUUAGUUAGACUGUCUAACGCAACUGCCCGUGACAAGCGGGAGGAAGGUGGGGAUGACGUCAAGUCAGCAUGGCCUUUAUGUCCAGGGCGACACACACGCUACAAUGGUCGGUACAAUGGGCAGCCAAGCCGCAAGGCGGAGCUAAUCCAAUCAAAGCCGGCCUCAGUUCAGAUUGUGGGCUGCAACUCGCCCACAUGAAGUCGGAGUUGCUAGUAACCGCGCGUCAGCAGAGUGCGGUGAAUACGUUCCCGGGCCUUGUACACACCGCACGA
rnacentral:rRNA from 1 species